AGGUGAGCCACACAAGCAAUGGAGGGCAGAAAGCUCAACUGAGAUGUUUCAAGAGGAGAAGAGAGUCAGAGCAUUAGCGUGUCCUACAUCAUCAUGUCCUAACCAGAAUUAUUGACCUGGGUUUAGUCUUUUGUUGGGAAGGAGACUGCAGAUGGAAUGGCCAAGGAAAUGCGAGGAGAAUCACCGAGUGAUUUACCAGGUGAGAGUGAGGCUGAAGAAUAGCAAGGUGGAAAUAUCUAUUUCUACAAGGUUUGCUGGGGGCCACCUAUGCAUAGCUGAUGAACCUCAGCUGGUGCUAACGAUGCUGAAGAGUGCUGCUUCAUGGGAAGAAAGUGUGAACACACCCCAGGGCUGCCUAGACUGAAGCACUCUUCCUGUGAAUGGACACAAGUCCAUUCUCCCUCACACCCAUCCAGCAUAAAAAGCUGUCUUCCCCUACAUUUGGGGUCCAGUGCCAAAGCUGAGGUCCUGGUCCCAAUUUGUUAUGCAGUUGGCAUGCAUUGCUUAAUAA